rnacentral:rRNA from 1 species
GUCGAGAAUCAUUCACAAUGGGGGAAACCCUGAUGGUGUGACGCCGCGUGGAGGAUGAAGGUCUUCGGAUUGUAAACUCCUGUCAUGUGGGAGUAAAGCCGGGUGUUAAAUGCAUGCCGGUCUGAGAGUACCACAAGAGGAAGGGACGGCUAACUCUGUGCCAGCAGCCGCGGUAAUACAGAGGUCCCAAGCGUUGUUCGGAAUCACUGGGCGUAAAGGGUGCGUAGGCGGCGCGGAAAGUCAGGGGUGAAAUCCCGGAGCUCAACGCCGGAACUGCCUGUGAUACUCCCGCGCUUGAGAACUGGAGGGGAGACCGGAAUUCACGGUGGAGCAGUGAAAUGCGUGGAUAUCGUGAGGAACACUAGUGGCGAAGGCGGGUCUCUGGACAGUAUCUGACGCUGAGGCACGAAGGCCAGGGGAGCGAACGGGAUUAGAAACCCGUGUAGUCC